GACGAACGCUGGCGGCGUGCUUAACACAUGCAAGUCGAACGGAAAGGCCCUUCUUGGGUUGGGUGCUCGAGUAGCGAACGGGUGAGUAACACGUGAGUAACCUGCCCUUGACGUUUGGAUAACGUCAGGAAACUGUGGCUAAUACCGUAUAGUUGCUCCUCCUGCAUGGGGUGGGUUGGAAAUUUUCGGCGGUGGGGGAUGAACUCGCGGCUUAUCAUAUUGUUGGUGGGGUAGUGGCUUACAAAGUCUUUGACGGGUAGCCGGCCUGGGGGGGUGACCGGCAAAAUUGGGAUUGGAAUCGGCCCAAACCUCCUAGGGGAGGAAGAAGUGGGGAUUAUGGCAAAAUGGGCGGAGGCUUAAUGAAGAACCGCGGCGUGCGGGAUGACGGCCUCGGGUUUGUAACCGCCUUUAGCCUGUGCCGAAGCGUGAGUGGCGGUAAUGGGUAAAGAAGCACCGGCUAACUACGUG
rnacentral:rRNA from 1 species